rnacentral:rRNA from 1 species
AGGAUGAACGCUGGCGGUCUGCUUAACACAUGCAAGUCGAACGGAGUAGCAAUACUUAGUGGCGGACGGGUGAGUAACGCGUGAGAAUCUACCUUCAGGACGGAGACAACAGUUGGAAACGACUGCUAACCCCCGAUGUACCGAAAGGGCAAAUAUUUAUAGCCUGAAGAAGAGCUCGCGUCCGAUUAGCUAGUUGGAGAGGUAAAAGCUCACCAAGGCGACGAUCGGUAGCUGGUCUGAGAGGACGAUCAGCCACACUGGGACUGAGACACGGCCCAGACUCCUACGGGAGGCAGCAGUGGGAAUUUCCGCAAUGGGCGAAAGCCUGACGGAGCAAGACCGCGUGGGGGAAGAAGGCUCGUUGGGUUGUAAACCCCUUUUCUCUGGGAAGAACGCAAUGACGGUACCAGAGGAAUCAGCAUCGGCUAACUCCGUGCCAGCAGCCGC